rnacentral:rRNA from 1 species
UACGGGGGGAGCAAGCGUUGUUCGGAUUUACUGGGCGUAAAGGGCGCGUAGGCGGUCAGCACAAGUCAGUUGUGAAAUCUCCGGGCUUAACUCGGAAAGGUCAACUGAUACUGUGCGACUAGAGUGCGGAAGGGGCAACUGGAAUUCUUGGUGUAGCGGUGAAAUGCGCAGAUAUCAGGAAGAACACCAAUGGCGAAAGCAGCUCUCUGGGACGGUACUGACGCUGAGACGCGAAAGCGUGGGGAGCGAACAGG